rnacentral:tRNA from 1 species
GCCUUCGUGGUGUAGUGGGUCAGCACGCUGGGCGCGUAUUCCAGAGGUCCGUGGUUCAAGUCCUGGCGAAGGCG